ensembl:snoRNA SNORD22 Small nucleolar RNA SNORD22
CCUACAUGAUGACACCCGCACACGUCUUACGCCAUGCGCAAACGCCAGACCUGCAAAAGGUGAACCCACUGGUGUUGGCAUGGCAACAAGGGGAUGAUUUUGUUGGGGCUACCAACGGUCUGAUUCUAGGG